UACGUAGGUGGCAAGCGAUACUCGGAAUCACUAGGCGUAAAGCGCAGGUAGGCGGUUGGAUAAGUUUCUUGUGAAAGCUCCCGGCUUAACUGGGAGAGGUCAAGGAAUACUGUUUGACUCGAGUGUGGUAGGGGUAACUGGAAUUCCCGGUGUAGCGGUGAAAUGCGUAGAUAUCGGGAGGAAUACCUAUGGCGAAAGCAGGUUACUGGGCCAUCACUGACGCUGAGCUGCGAAAGCUAGGGGAGCAAACGGG
rnacentral:rRNA from 1 species